ACAGUCAGGGCCAGGGAGGAGCAGAAUCCUCAGAGGAAGAUGUGGAUCCUCUCCCAGACAGCCGGGAGGCAGGUGGGACACAGGGAGGAGCAGAUCCUCACUCAGACAAAGAUGUGGAUCCUCCCUCAGACAAAGAGGCGGAUCCUCCCUCAGACAAAGAUGUGGAUCCUCCCUCAGAGGAAGAUGCGGAUCCUCCCUCAGACGAAGAUGGGGAUCCUCUCCUGGAUGGCCUGUCAGCAGAUGGGGCACAGGGAGGAGCAGAAUCCUCCCUCAGACGAAGAUGUGGAUCCUCCCCUGGGUGGAGGGAGGAGCAGAUCCUCCCUCAGACGAAGAUGCAGAUCCUCCCUCAGACGAAGAUGUGGAUCCUCCCUCAGAGGAAGAGGCGGAUCCUCCCUCAGACGAAGAUGUGGAUCCUCCCUCAAAGAUGCAGAUCCUCCCUCAGACGAAGAUGUGGAUCCUCUCGCGGAUGGCCUGGCGGCAGAUGGGGCACACGGUCAGCGCCGUGCUGCAGUCCGGGCAGGAGCCGUGCCCGCACUGGAACACCAGCUUGAUCUGGUCGUCGAUGCAGAUGGGGCAGGUGAUCCUCUCCUCCAUCUGCCGGUA
rnacentral:lncRNA from 1 species